CUUAGUACACAUUUACACAAUCUUUUUUGUCUUUGUCAAAUCUUAGGACACAUUUACACAAUCUUUUACUCUUUUUUUUGGUCAACAAUUAUACAAUCUAGACUCCUACAUUUAUGUCUUUCUUUAUUUCCUCUAUUCUGCUCCAUAUUUUUUGAAGGCUUUUAAAGCAGAGAGUGAGGUUUACGCCUUUAACGUACCUUUGUGUUUCUUCUUCUGCUUCACUCUUGUCAGAUCUUAAGAAAUUUCCUACUCUGCUUAUAAACAACACCCAUGAUCAAAGUAGGUGGUCUUGAGAGAAUGGAAAGCAAGAAGGAUAUUACAUUACAGGUUAGUAUCUCCUCUGUUCAUCUGUUUCUUGUAGCUAGAUCUGAGAAAAGUGCCUCUUCUGUUUUUCUCCUUGAAAUAAUU
rnacentral:misc_RNA from 1 species